UUCAGGUGCUCUUCGCAUCUUGCUGUUAGUGGAACCAGUUCGAGCAGCAUUUGUGAUGUGACAUUUUCAUCCGAGGAGCGACCGAUCGUCAACGUCUUCUCUUGGUGCACGGAUCUCAGCAAACAUCAGAAAUAAACUGCAAAUCCCGCGGGAAGGAGUUACAGACACACAACACGGGUGUCAUUGGCAGUCCAUAGCUGAAAUGAAAUUUAUGUAAAAGCUCUCAUCUGGCAUUUCAUGUGUAAGAACAGCAGUCCACGAUAGCAGCAUGUGACAAUGGAAGAAAAGGUGUAAAUAUGGACACCCUCUUUUGUUUAUGACCUAAAGGGCGACUGCCUCCAAGGGCACUGGUGUAUGUGAUGGGGCAUGAGACAGCCAGGGAAAGACAUGGACCAAAUUUUAACAAGUGAUUUGAAUGUGUCUGUGAUAAGUGAGUAGUGAAUUGAUUGGAAGAUGUGAAAUUCCUUUUUUGUGUGUUUACUUGGCAUGCCAAGCAAAAGUGUUUUCUUCUCAUUUUUUUCUCUAUCUGUUGCUUUCAGAGAUAGCAAAACCUCAUUUGCCCUUCUUGUAAUGUCUCUGUAAGGUAUGUAUCAUUUUGUAACUUUUAUCUGUGGCCAGUUUUGUUAUGUAUCUCAUUUGCAUACAUACUAUUGUGAAUUUAUAUUUUAGGAAAACUGUAUAUUCUCCUUCUGUCUGUGUUUCAUGAUGAAAGUUAAACAAAUAAUUGUCUAGACAUUGGGUUACAUAGUCAGCUAUUUGGCAACAUCUGUCUGUAUAACACAGUGUAAGUGUUAUGUAAAAAAGUGAGUGCUCCCAAAAUAACCAAUUUUUUCAGUUAGUUUCAUUUUAUUUUCAAGAUGUGACAUGUAGCUAUUACUUGGAAAUCUCAUUUACUUGUUUGGACCCAGUUUUAUUAUGUUUAAUAUUCAGAUUCUCAUUUCAGGUGUCUAAUUCAAUUUGUGUAACUAGCUUCCAUUAGGACACUGUUAAAAGUUAGAGUUAACUUAACUUUGCACUAUAAUUUGAAAUUUGUAAACCUUUAUGAGCUAAUCCAUAAAAUUCUAUAAGAUGAGCUACACCACCUGAAAAUAAGC